rnacentral:rRNA from 1 species
UGCAGUCGAGCGAAUGGAUUAAGAGCUUGCUCUUAUGAAGUUAGCGGCGGACGGGUGAGUAACACGUGGGUAACCUGCCCAUAAGACUGGGAUAACUCCGGGAAACCGGGGCUAAUACCGGAUAACAUUUUGAACCGCAUGGUUCGAAAUUGAAAGGCGGCUUCGGCUGUCACUUAUGGAUGGACCCGCGUCGCAUUAGCUAGUUGGUGAGGUAACGGCUCACCAAGGCAACGAUGCGUAGCCGACCUGAGAGGGUGAUCGGCCACACUGGGACUGAGACACGGCCCAGACUCCUACGGGAGGCAGCAGUAGGGAAUCUUCCGCAAUGGACGAAAGUCUGACGGAGCAACGCCGCGUGAGUGAUGAAGGCUUUCGGGUCGUAAAACUCUGUUGUUAGGGAAGAACAAGUGCUAGUUGAAUAAGCUGGCACCUUGACGGUACCUAACCAGAAAGCCACGGCUAACUACGUGCCAGCAGCCGCGGUAAUACGUAGGUGGCAAGCGUUAUCCGGAAUUAUUGGGCGUAAAGCGCGCGCAGGUGGUUUCUUAAGUCUGAUGUGAAAGCCCACGGCUCAACCGUGGAGGGUCAUUGGAAACUGGGAGACUUGAGUGCAGAAGAGGAAAGUGGAAUUCCAUGUGUAGCGGUGAAAUGCGUACAGAUAUGGAGGAACACCAGUGGCGA